UAAUCGAUUGGUGUUUGGAUUCUGAGCGUUGCUGGCGUUUGCCUAGCUCGUUCGUAAUACAUUAGCAUCCCUAAUACAAGUUUGGAUUGACUUGGCGUAAUAGACUAUUCGCUAAGGAUUCGGUGGAAACAUCGAGCCAACUUCAUUAAGGAAGCUCCUAAUUUAAAAGUCUACCUUUUGAUUAGAUCUCAAAUCAGGCAGGAUUACCCGCUGAACUUAAGCAUAUCAAUAAGCGGAGGAAAAGAAACUAACAAGGAUUCCCCUAGUAGCGGCGAGCGAAGCGGGAAAAGCUCAAAUUUGUAAUCUGGCGUCUUCGACGUCCGAGUUGUAAUCUCGAGAAGUGUUUUCCGUGAUAGACCGCAUACAAGUCUCUUGGAACAGAGCGUCAUAGUGGUGAGAACCCAGUACACGAUGCGGAUGCCUAUUACUUUGUGAUACACUUUCGAAGAGUCGAGUUGUUUGGGAAUGCAGCUCAAAUUGGGUGGUAAAUUCCAUCUAAAGCUAAAUAUUGGCGAGAGACCGAUAGCGAACAAGUACCGUGAGGGAAAGAUGAAAAGCACUUUGGAAAGAGAGUUAACAGUACGUGAAAUUGUUGGAAGGGAAACACAUGCAGUGAUACUUGCUAUUCGGGGCAACUCGAUUGGCAGGCCCGCAUCAGUUUUUCGGGGCGGAAAAUCGUAGAGAGAAGGUAGCAGUUUCGGCUGUGUUAUAGCUCUUUACUGGAUUCGCCCUGGGGGACUGAGGAACGCAGCGUGCUUUUAGCAUGAGCUUCGGC
rnacentral:rRNA from 1 species